rnacentral:rRNA from 1 species
GUGAACCAGUACCGUGAGGGAAAGGUGAAAAGUACCCCGGAAGGGGAGUGAAAGAGAACUUGAAACCGUGUGCUUACAAGUAGUCAGAGCCCGUUAAUGGGUGAUGGCGUGCCUUUUGUAGAAUGAACCGGCGAGUUACGAUCUGAUGCAAGGUUAAGCAGCAAAUGUGGAGCCGCAGCGAAAGCGAGUCUGAAUAGGGCGAAUGAGUAUGUAGUCGUAGACCCGAAACCAUGUGAUCUACCCAUGUCCAGGUUGAAGGUGCGGUAAAACGCACUGGAGGACCGAACCCACGUACGUUGAAAAGUGCGGGGAUGAGGUGUGGGUAGCGGAGAAAUUCCAAACGAACUUGGAGAUAGCUGGUUCUCUCCGAAAUAGCUUUAGGGCUAGCCUCAAGUGAUGAUUAUUGGAGGUAGAGCACUGUUUGGACGAGGGGCCCCUCUCGGGUUACCGAAUUCAGACAAACUCCGAAUGCCAAUUAAUUUAACUUGGGAGUCAGAACAUGGGUGAUAAGGUCCGUGUUCGAAAGGGAAACAGCCCAGACCACCAGCUAAGGUCCCAAAAUAUAUGUUAAGUGGAAAAGGAUGUGGCGUUGCCCAGACAACUAGGAUGUUGGCUUAGAAGCAGCCAUCAUUUAAAGAGUGCGUAAUAGCUCACUAGUCGAGUGACCCUGCGCCGAAAAUGUACCGGGGCUAAACAUAUUACCGAAGCUGUGGACUACACCAUUAGGUGUAGUGGUAGGAGAGCGUUCUAAGGGCGUCGAAGCAUGAUCGCAAGGACAUGUGGAGCGCUUAGAAGUGAGAAUGCCGGUAUGAGUAGCGAAAGACAGGUGAGAAUCCUGUCCACCGUAUGACUAAGGUUUCCUGGGGAAGGCUCGUCCGCCCAGGGUUAGUCGGGACCUAAGCCGAGGCCGAUAGGCGUAGGCGAUGGACAACAGGUUGAUAUUCCUGUACCAGUUGUUUUUGUUUGAGCAAUGGAGGGACGCAGUAGGCUAAGGAAUGCAUGCGAUUGGAAGUGCAUGUCCAAGCAAUGAGUCUUGAGUAGAGUUAAAUGCUUUACUCUUUAAGGACAAGUUGUGACGGGGAGCGAAAUAAUAGUAGCGAAGUUCCUGAUGUCACACUGCCAAGAAAAGCUUCUAGUGAGAAAACAACUGCCCGUACCGUAAACCGACACAGGUAGUCGAGGAGAGUAUCCUAAGGUGAGCGAGCGAACUCUCGUUAAGGAACUCGGCAAAAUGACCCCGUAACUUCGGGAGAAGGGGUGCUGACUUCGGUCAGCCGCAGUGAAUAGGCCCAAGCGACUGUUUAUCAAAAACACAGGUCUCUGCAAAAUCGUAAGAUGAAGUAUAGGGGCUGACGCCUGCCCGGUGCUGGAAGGUUAAGAGGAUGGGUUAGCUUCGGCGAAGCUCAGAAUUGAAGCCCCAGUAAACGGCGGCCGUAACUAUAACGGUCCUAAGGUAGCGAAAUUCCUUGUCGGGU